rnacentral:rRNA from 1 species
UGGGGAAUCUUGGACAAUGGGGGCAACCCUGAUCCAGCCAUGCCGCGUGAGUGAUGAAGCCUUAGGGUCGUAAAGCUCUUUCGCCUGUGAAGAUAAUGACGGUAGCAGGUAAAGAAACCCCGGCUAACUCCGUGCCAGCAGCCGCGGUAAUACGGAGGGGGUUAGCGUUGUUCGGAAUUACUGGGCGUAAAGCGCACGUAGGCGGACCAGAAAGUUGGGGGUGAAAUCCCGGGGGCUCAACCCCGGAACUGCCUCCAAAACUAUUGGUCUAGAGUUCGAGAGAGGUGAGUGGAAUUCCAAGUGUAGAGGUGAAAUUCGUAGAUAUUUGGAGGAACACCAGUGGCGAAGGCGGCUCACUGGCUCGAUACUGACGCUGAGGUGCGAAAGUGUGGGGAGCAAACAGGAGUUAGAUACCCUGGUAGUCCACACCGUAAAACGAUGAAUGCCAGUCGUCGGGUAGCAUGCUAUUCGGU